rnacentral:rRNA from 1 species
AGGAUGAACGCUGGCGGCGUGCCUAAGACAUGCAAGUCGAGUGGGUUUAGACCCACGGCGAACGGGUGAGUAAUACCUAGGAACUUUCUUUAAGUGGAGCAUAACCCAUAGAAAUGUGGGACAAUUCUCCAUGUGGCAGUAAUGCUAAAGUCGCAAGACGCUUAAAGUGAGGCCUGGGCACCAUCAGCUAGUUGGUAAGGUAAUGGCUUACCAAGGCUAUGACGGUUAGGGGUCCCGAGAGGGAUAACCCCCCACACUGGAACUGCGACACGGUCCAGACUCCUACGGGAGGCAGCAGUUUGGAAUUUUGGACAAUGGGCGAAAGCCUGAUCCAGCGACGCCGCGUGGACGAUGAAGGCCUUCGGGUCGUAAAGUCCUUUUGCUCGGGAACAAUAUUUUGAGCGUACCGAGAGAAUAGAGGUUGCUAACUCUGUGCCAGCAGCCGC